rnacentral:rRNA from 1 species
GACGAACGCUGGCGGCGCGCUUAACACAUGCAAGUCGAACGGAAAGGCCUGCUUUCCCUUGUGGAUUGCGGGUACUCGAGUGGCGAACGGGUGAGUAACACGUGAGUGAUCUGCCCCCAACUUGGGUAUAAGCCUGGGAAACUGGGUCUAAUUCCCGAUAGGACUGCAGGGUGGUGCCUGUGGUGGAAAACGAUUUUCUAGUGGUUGGGGAUGAGCUCGCGGCCUAUCAGCUUGUUGGUGGGGUAAUGGCCUACCAAGGCGGCGACGGGUAGCCGGCCCGGGGGGGUGGACGGCCACAUUGGGACUGAGAUACGGCCCAGACUCCUACGGGAGGCAGCAGUGGGGAAUAUUGCACAAUGGGCGGAAGCCUGAUGCAGCGACGCCGCGUGGGGGAUGACGGCCUUCGGGUUGUAACCUCCUUUCGACCGCGAGGAAGCCACCUGGUUGGAAGGGUGGUGACGGUAGUGGUAGAAGAAGCACCGGCUAACUACGUG